rnacentral:miRNA from 10 species
AGAGGAUCUAGAAAAGUACAGGUAUCAGCAGAUUGAGGAGAGCACCACAGUGGUCACCAUGCAGUCCGCUGAGGUUGGAGCUGCCGAAGUGACGCU